UUUAAUGUGUUUCAAACGAAGGACGAAUUGUACAGACAUUUUAAUUAAAACUGACUUUAAAUUGUCAAUAAAUUCCUUUGUCACACUGACGAGCUACGGCCAUGAGCUACGGUGACUCAAAUAAGCUACUGACACCGGAGGUAGAUUGACAACAAUAAGGCUACAAAUAAUCAUGUCCGUGGAAAAGUUGCGAGAGUUUUAAGAUCCAUAACUACUUUCUGAUGUUUGCUGAUUUUCUUAUGGAUGAAGAUACUAUGAGACGCCUUUUUGUCAUGGUGCACUUCGCAGUGAAAACAGUCAAGCAAGUAAAAUAACAAGAUUAGUCCAUUAAUUAAGAAUGAUUUACGAGUUUUUAUUACAAUUCAUGUUGUUAGUUUUUAUUCUGUAAUUUUAGUUACAUUAUUUUUUUAAAAUGUUUCUGCCGCUUUUGUUAUAUUGUAUUGUAUUAUCAUUUUUUUUUAUAACUUUGUUGAUUCUAUUAGCUAGGAAUAAUAAGUCUUUAGGAAAACAUCGGGGUCGAAAGCUAAGUGUAGACCUGGAGCAACAAAGACAAGUUUUCCAAAAAUAUAAAAGUAGGAUAGGAAAUUUUGUACCUCCCAAUAAUAAAGAAAACCGCGCUUUAUACUCCGAUCUUCAA